rnacentral:rRNA from 1 species
UGGGGAAUAUUGCACAAUGGGCGCAAGCCUGAUGCAGCCAUGCCGCGUGUAUGAAGAAGGCCUUCGGGUUGUAAAGUACUUUCAGCGGGGAGGAAGGGAGUAAAGUUAAUACCUUUGCUCAUUGACGUUACCCGCAGAAGAAGCACCGGCUAACUCCGUGCCAGCAGCCGCGGUAAUACGGAGGGUGCAAGCGUUAAUCGGAAUUACUGGGCGUAAAGCGCACGCAGGCGGUUUGUUAAGUCAGAUGUGAAAUCCCCGGGCUCAACCUGGGAACUGCAUCUGAUACUGGCAAGCUUGAGUCUCGUAGAGGGGGGUAGAAUUCCAGGUGUAGCGGUGAAAUGCGUAGAGAUCUGGAGGAAUACCGGUGGCGAAGGCGGCCCCCUAGACGAAGACUGACGAUCAGGUGUGAAAGCGUGGGGAGCAAACAGG